rnacentral:lncRNA from 10 species
UCACUGGCCAAGGAGAAUCAAAGAGCUAGAUGCUGAGAAUAAUGCAGCCAUAACGUGAAAUCUUUUUGAGACCACUCACUCUGGGAGAAAGCAACUGGCUAUGUCAUGAGGAAAUUGAAACCACCUAUGGAGAAAGGCCCACAUGGUGAGAAAGUAAAGCCUCUUCCCAAUACCAAAAUUCUGUAAGUCUGCUACGGUGACAUUUCUGGUUAGGAGUCAGAGUGGAUGGGACACUGAGCAAUAAGAAUGCAGAGACAUGAUGGCUGAAGCUGGAGCUUUUCCCUGAAGCAACCACCUGUUGGAAACUUCAUGUUGAAGAUGACUGAAUAAUAAGACAGAGGGGUCUGGGUCCCUGGUGGAUAUUCCAGAUCUGGGUGUUCGUGGAGAUAUGAGAAAGCAAUAAACUUCAAUUUUGCUUAAAU